rnacentral:rRNA from 1 species
UGGGGAAUCUUGCACAAUGGGGGCAACCCUGAUGCAGCGACGCCGCGUGAGCGAUGAAGCCCUUCGGGGCGUAAAGCUCUUUCGACCGGAACGAUAAUGACGGUACCGGGAGAAGAAGCUGCGGCUAACUACGUGCCAGCAGCCGCGGUAAUACGUAGGCAGCAAGCGUUGUUCGGAGUUACUGGGCGUAAAGAGUGCGUAGGCGGUUUUCUAAGUUCGGUGUGAAAUCUCCCGGCUUAACUGGGAGGGUGCGCCGAAGACUGGGAAGCUGGAGUGUGGGAAAGGCAGGCGGAAUCCCUGGUGUAGCGGUGAAAUGCGUAGAUAUCGGGAGGAACACCGGCGGUGUAGACGGCUUGCUAGACCAUAACGGACGCUGAGGCACGAAAGCGUGGGUAGCAAACA